rnacentral:rRNA from 1 species
AGUGAACGCUGGCGGUAGGCCUAACACAUGCAAGUCGAACGGCAGCACAGUAAGAGCUUGCUCUUACGGGUGGCGAGUGGCGGACGGGUGAGGAAUACAUCGGAAUCUACUUUUUCGUGGGGGAUAACGUAGGGAAACUUACGCUAAUACCGCAUACGACCUACGGGUGAAAGCAGGGGAUCUUCGGACCUUGCGCGAUUGAAUGAGCCGAUGUCGGAUUAGCUAGUUGGCGGGGUAAGGGCCCACCAAGGCGACGAUCCGUAGCUGGUCUGAGAGGAUGAUCAGCCACACUGGAACUGAGACACGGUCCAGACUCCUACGGGAGGCAGCAGUGGGGAAUAUUGGACAAUGGGCGCAAGCCUGAUCCAGCCAUACCGCGUGGGUGAAGAAGGCCUUCGGGUUGCAAAGCCCUUUUGUUGGGAAAGAAAAGCAGCAGGUUAAUACCCCGCUGUUCUGACGGUACCCAAAGAAUAAGCACCGGCUAACUUCGUG